AUUAAGCCAUGCAUGUCUAAGCACAUGCCUUAAAAUGGUAAAGCCGCGAAUGGCUCGGUAUAACAGCUACGGUUUAUUAGACUAUACCCGUUACUUGGAUAACUGUGGUAAUUCUAGAGCUAAUACAUGCAUCAAAGCUCCGACCUCACGGGACGAGCGCAUUUAUUAUUCCAAAACCAAUCGAACUUUGGUUCGUUGUUUGGUGACUCUAAAUAACUCAGUUGAUCGCAUAGUCUCGUACUGGCGAUGUAUCUUUCAAAUGUCUGCCUUAUCAACUUUCGAUGGUAGGUUAUAUGCCUACCAUGGUUAUAACGGGUAACGGAGAAUUAGGGUUCGACUCCGGAGAGGGAGCCUGAGAAAUGGCUACCACAUCCAAGGAAGGCAGCAGGCGCGCAAAUUACCCAAUCCCGGUACGGGGAGGUAGUGACGAAAAAUAACGAGAUAGUCCACUUUGUGGUCUGUCAUCGGAAUGGGUACAAUUUAAAUCCUUUAACGAGGAUCAAUUAGAGGGCAAGUCUGGUGCCAGCAGCCGCGGUAAUUCCAGCUCUAAUAGCGUAUAUUAAAGUUGUUGUGGUUAAAACGCCCAUAGUUGAUUGUUCGACUCUGGUACGCGGUAGCUCGUAAGGGCUUCACUGUUGUAUCGAGUCUGAUUUUGAGUUUUCUGUUGAUGCUCUUAAUCGGGUGUUGAUGGUGACUCGGACGUUUACUUUGAAAAAAUUAGAGUGCUUAAAGGAAGCUUUAUGCUUGAAUAUAGUGCAUGGGAUAAUGGAAUAGGACUUUGGUCAUAUUUUGUUGGUUUUGAGACUGAAAGUAAUGAUUAAGAGGAACAGACGGGGGCAUUCGUAUUGUUACGUUAGAGGUGAAAU
rnacentral:rRNA from 1 species